rnacentral:rRNA from 1 species
AUACGUAGGUGGCGAGCGUUGUCCGGAAUUACUGGGCGUAAAGGAUGCGUAGGUGGAUAUUUAAGUGGGAUGUGAAAUCCCCGGGCUCAACCCGGGAACUGCAUUCCAAACUGGGUAUCUAGAGUGCAGGAGAGGAAAGCGGAAUUCCUAGUGUAGCGGUGAAAUGCGUAGAUAUUAGGAGGAACACCAGUGGCGAAGGCGGCUUUCGGGACUGUAACGGACACUGAGGCAUGAAAGCGUGGGUAGAAAACAGGAUUAGAAUCCCUGGUAGUCCACGCCGUAAACGAUGGGUACUAGGUGUAGGAGGUAUCGACCCCUUCUGUGCCGUCGUUAACACAAUAAGUACCCCGCCUGGGGAGUACGGUCGCAAGACUAAAACUCAAAUGAAUUGACGGGG